UACGAAGGGGGCUAGCGUUGCUCGGAAUCACUGGGCGUAAAGCGCACGUAGGCGGAUUGCUAAGUCAGGGGUGAAAUCCUGGAGCUCAACUCCAGAACUGCCUUUGAUACUGGCGACCUUGAGUCCGGGAGAGGUGAGUGGAACUGCGAGUGUAGAGGUGAAAUUCGUAGAUAUUCGCAAGAACACCAGUGGCGAAGGCGGCUCACUGGCCCGGUACUGACGCUGAGACGCGAAAGCGUGGGGAGCGAACAGG
rnacentral:rRNA from 1 species